GCUUAUCUCCCUAAAUUGUGAGAAAAUGCUUUCUAAGUUGUGAAGACUCACAAAAAUAUCAAGUACUGUUCUUUAUAUCAUAGCUAAGUUCAUGUUGUAAGUGGGGGUGGAAACUAAAUUUUAUUGAAUCCCUUAGUCUGUUCCAGGAGCUAUGCUAAGCACUUCAUAUACACUGCCUUCCAGUAAACCUACCACAGGUACACAUUAUUUUACACAUUUUUUACAUGUGCACAGAGAGGUCAAGUGACUCGUCCACGGUCACACAGCUAGUUUGUCACAGAGCCAGGAAUAGAACCUAAGUCUGUGAGAUUUUUUUCAAUCUUUCAUAAUCCUAGAAGAUUAUACUUGGGUCAUUCAUAACCUUUUCUUCUUAGGUUAAACAACUCCCAUUCUAUUUUUUCUUUUUCAAUCCUUUUCUGAUGGGCAUUUCGUCUUAUGAAAUAUGUGACAAGUUUUGGAAAAUCAGGAACUAUUCUUGGUGGGUACAAACAAGUGGAGUUGUCUUAGGAGCUUAACAUAUUGUUAUCUCUGAGAAGAGUUUAUGUAAAUCUUAAAAUUUCACUACUACUGGGGUCUGAUGGCAAUUAUGGCUAAUUUAAGCCUGUGGAGUCACACACGAGGCACUUAAAACAAGAGGAAAGACACAAUAGGUCUGCAUGAAAUUUACAG
rnacentral:lncRNA from 1 species